rnacentral:rRNA from 1 species
GGUUCGUCACGUCGGAUGUGAAACUCUGGGGCUUAACCCCAGACCUGCAUUCGAUACGGGCGAGCUUGAGUAUGGUAGGGGAGUCUGGAAUUCCUGGUGUAGCGGUGGAAUGCGCAGAUAUCAGGAGGAACACCAAUGGCGAAGGCAGGACUCUGGGCCAUUACUGACACUGAGGAGCGAAAGCGUGGGGAGCGAACAGGAUUAGAUACCCUGGUAGUCCACGCCGUAAACGGUGGGCACUAGUUGUGGGGACCUUCCACGGUCUCUGCGACGCAGCUAACGCAUUAAGUGCCCCGCCUGGGGAGUACGAUCGCAAGAUUAAAACUCAAAGGAAUUGACGGGGCCCCGCACAAGCAGCGGAGCAUGCGGCUUAAUUCGACGCAACGCGAAGAACCUUACCAAGGCUUGACAUAUACAGGAAUAUGGCAGAGAUGUCAUAGCCGCAAGGUCUGUAUACAGGUGGUGCAUGGUUGUCGUCAGCUCGUGUCGUGAGAUGUUGGGUUAAGUCCCGCAACGAGCGCAACCCUCGUUCUGUGUUGCCAGCAUUUAGUUGGGGACUCACAGGAGACUGCCGGGGUUAACUCGGAGGAAGGUGGGGAUGACGUCAAAUCAUCAUGCCCCUUAUGUCUUGGGCUGCACGCAUGCUACAAUGGCUGGUACAAACGGCUGCAAUACCGCAAGGUGGAGCGAAUCCGAGAAAGCCAGUCUCAGUUCGGAUUGGGGUCUGCAACUCGACCCCAUGAAGUCGGAGUUGCU